GAACCAUAUGCAACUCAACCUUUUGCUAAAAACUACAAAACUAAAGAGCAACAGCCAAAUUGUAUUACGACGUUUGCGUCUACCUUAGGAAAUCCCUUUCUAUUUGUAUUUCGCGCUUCGUGUCACGUGAUUCAGACACAAACAAACAAAAUGGCGGAGGCUUCAAAAUCUACAAUGAGCGAACCAGCAAAAACAGAGGGAGAGAUGAGAAGAAGUAAACGCGUGAGACAGCCAUCUAAGAGAAUGUUGUUGUAUUUUCAGGACACAGAUUCAGAUUCAAGUCUACAGAAGGGUAAAGGAAAACAUCCUGCCAGAAAGUUGAUACAUUAGCAACAACAACUAAGGGGACACUGGAACACCAUAGCACGUCUGACAAUGAACCUGUACUGGCUUUUGUUCCUUCAAGUUCUGAUGAGUCUGAAGGAGAACCACUCAGUGAGAGAGAGGAUGAUUUAAGAACCAAAUGAAAGGGAAGGAAAAGAGGAAGUAAGAAAGUGAAAGGGCGCUGUUAUGUCCAUGAAGAACAAGAAAAAAAAAUCUAAGGGAAUAAUUGAAAGUCUUACAGUCAACUAAAGGAAAGAAUUUAGAUAUUGCUAGAAUUUUAUCAAAAAGGAAAGAAAAAAAGGAACAAGACCUGUGUCCAGUCCGGAGUGGUGCUCUUGUCACAGAUGCCCACAAUACGAGAGAGUGGAAGAUCGAGUUUGCUGUGGGAUGGUCCCAGAAUUAUGCUCAAGUCAAAGACCUGAGAUGACUCUAUCGGUGCUGGAUAGGAUGACCCUCUACAGUCAGCAGCAGUAUCGACAAGAUGUGUUUUCCUUUUAUGCAGAGACACUAGAAGAUGUAAAUAAAUCAUUCAGACAUGCUGCAUACAGACAAUUUACCAUCUUAAUGCAUGGGAAACUGACUGCUGGAGACAGAAGAACUGUCCCAGCAAGUUGUGUUAAAUUAAUAAGGGAGAAGUUUCCUAGUCUUUCAGGCCAGUAUACAGGCUUCAUACCAGGUGAAGGCCCAGUGUUCUAACAAUUUUGCAUAUUUA